UUCUGUAUUAGUUAAGAGAAUUUUUAACCCUGAUCAUCGUCAAAAUGCAGAUCAUUGUGUCCAUAUUAUGUGCAAUGCUGCUGGUAUCAUAUACAGGUUCUGUUUCUGUUACUCUGACACCUUCAGUUAAUUAUGUUGCUGUUGGACAAACUGCUACUUUUACCUGUCAGGUGGGAAUUAAGGACCAAUAUCGGGUGCGUUUCUUCAAACAAUCUCCUGGAGAAAUUCCUAAAAAAAUUCUGAGCUUUCAUCAUAAUCUCACCUCCCCUUAUUAUCCACCUGGAGUUAAUUCAUCUCAUUAUAGCUCCACUGUAAGCAGCUCUGGUACAGAGUAUCAGCUCAUCAUUACCAGUGCAGAAGCUACAGAUACAGCUGUUUAUUAUUGUGCUAAGGGGUUCCAAGACAAACAUUAUGAAUAUCACAGUGAUACAUCCCAUAGCAAUAACCUCUUAGCAACACUACACGGCAACAUGUUGUUGUGAAAUACAGUUCAUUACAUUUUACACAUUAACAUUGUUUUCCCUAAAUGUAAUAUUAGAUUUCUGAUACAUUUUACCUAUUUAUUUACACUAAAGUUACUUGUAUAAAAUGUUAUAAAUUUU